CACAAUUCCAAUAGACAGAGCCUGAAUCCCACAGCCAUCAUUUAUGACGGCUCCUGGGAUUGAACAAAAGUUGACGGCGGAGCUCCACCUUUUGUCAACUUCAGGAUUUACCAUAAGAUAAAGUAGUCCCUACUUUGUGUUAUGGUGUCUUUAGAUUGUGUUAGAAUUUCAAUGAAAUUCUUAUGCAGUUUUGAUCAGUAUUUCAGUAUUAGUGUGUCCCAG